rnacentral:rRNA from 1 species
UUUUAUGGAGAGUUUGAUCCUGGCUCAGGAUGAACGCUGGCGGCGUGCCUAAUACAUGCAAGUCGAGCGAACGGACGAGAAGCUUGCUUCUCUGAUGUUAGCGGCGGACGGGUGAGUAACACGUGGAUAACCUACCUAUAAGACUGGGAUAACUUCGGGAAACCGGAGCUAAUACCGGAUAAUAUUUUGAACCGCAUGGUUCAAAAGUGAAAGACGGUCUUGCUGUCACUUAUAGAUGGAUCCGCGCUGCAUUAGCUAGUUGGUAAGGUAACGGCUUACCAAGGCAACGAUGCAUAGCCGACCUGAGAGGGUGAUCGGCCACACUGGAACUGAGACACGGUCCAGACUCCUACGGGAGGCAGCAGUAGGGAAUCUUCCGCAAUGGGCGAAAGCCUGACGGAGCAACGCCGCGUGAGUGAUGAAGGUCUUCGGAUCGUAAAACUCUGUUAUUAGGGAAGAACAUAUGUG